UGGGGAAUAUUGCACAAUGGGCGAAAGCCUGAUGCAGCAACGCCGCGUGAGUGAUGAAGGCCUUCGGGUUGUAAAGCUCUGUCUUUUGGGACGAUAAUGACGGUACCAAAGGAGGAAGCCACGGCUAACUACGUGCCAGCAGCCGCGGUAAUACGUAGGUGGCAAGCGUUGUCCGGAUUUACUGGGCGUAAAGGAUGCGUAGGCGGAUUUUUAAGUGAGAUGUGAAAUACCCGGGCUUAACUUGGGUGCUGCAUUUCAAACUGGGAAUCUAGAGUGCGGGAGAGGAGAAUGGAAUUCCUAGUGUAGCGGUGAAGUGCGUAGAGAUUAGGAAGAACACCAGUGGCGAAGGCGAUUCUCUGGACCGUAACUGACGCUGAGGCAUGAAAGCGUGGGUAGCAAACAGGAUUAGAUACCCUGGUAGUCCACGCCGUAAACGAUGAGUACUAGGUGUAGGAGGUAUCGACCCCGUUCUGUGCCGCAGUUAACACAAUAAGUACUCCGCCUGGGAAGUACGAUCGCAAGAUUAAAAGCUCAAAGGAAUUGACGGGGUCAUAGCUGUUUCC
rnacentral:rRNA from 1 species